ACUCGUCAAUACCCUUAUCUCCCCUCCUGCGUCACAACUUGCUCUGCUGAGAUUACCGCACCAUAACCACGUCAUCUGCCCCAAUGAGCACAUCUACGGGCCGGAGAACCAGCGCAGAAAAGGAGUAAGUUUAAUUGGUCGCCAGAUGAAACGGUCUUCUUACAUCAAAUUCAGGAAAAAAGACGUAUAAUCAGAGGGUGUUAUGGGAAGAGUAUCACCCCUGAGGAUAAGAAGAGAGCGUGGACUGAAGUGGCAGAAGCUGUAACAAGUGCCUUCCCUGGGAGUGGACCCCGUACGCAGGAUGACUGUGAGAGGCGUUGGUACAACGUACAACAAAAAUCAAAGCCUCGCAUUGCCAAGUGCAAGAAUGAGCAGCGGCAGACUGCCCCGCUGCUGUAUUGCUAGAGACCAUCCCAGCACAUUUUUCAUUACUUGUGGAAAAGAUACCAUCAGCUGCUCCGGCAACAGCCACUGCUUCAACAUCUGCUGGCCCUAUGACACCAGCCACUGCUUCAUCAUCUGCUGGCUCAGUGACACCUGCCACUGCAAGGGAUGACAAUGAAGCUGCUCCACCAGUCACCACCUACUUCAUCGGAGUUAAGAGAUGCCUUUCAUAGGGCAGCAGUAUAAUUUUUUUAUGCUGGGGCUGAAUAUUACUGCCUCUAGGCUAUGAUUUUGUGGAAAGGGUGGAAAAAAAUAUCUGCUGUUUUUCGACAGAAAUGGUUAGCAAAUUCAUUCAAAGCACAAAAUUUACCAGAAAAAAAAAUUGUGUGCCUUUGUGAGUGGGUUCACUUGAGAUUGGGCUCCAAUACGCCUCCGUGGUCUAGUGGUCAGCAUGCCUGGUUUCUACGCGGGCCCGGGUUCGAAUCCCGGCCCGGGCAGUCGGCGUGCAGCUCACCGAGCUGAUCAUCCUCCCUCUCGGGCUGGUCGAUAAAUGGCUACCUGGGGAAACCUGAGGAAACUGUGGUAACCCGGAUGUCAUACUGGCCCUGUGUCCCGGGGUAAUGGGCUCCCUCCCACCACAGGCUCAAGGGCCAAUGUUACGGAGAUGAGCACCGAAGCCACGCGCUGCUUCAGCGUAUGCCCCAACUUUACCUUUACCUUUAUUGGCUCGACUGAUAGAGACAUGGGUUUGUAUGUCGAGGGUCACUGGUUCAAUCUCCACAGCCAGCACUCUCUAACUUGAAUUUUUGUGAGUUCCCUAGAGCCUAGAUUAAUUUCUCGGUGUUAAAUGAGGAGAUUUGCACCGACACCUAGUUUUGGGUGUUACAAGAUACGUUGUUACAAUCAGGGGCGUCAUUUGGACUUCAAAAGUGGGAGGGA